CGCUCCAGUACCGUUCCUGCUCUUGUGCCAAAGCCCCCCUCCACCCCACUGGUUAGACUUGUGGGUAAAAUUUACUCACUCAAGUGCCGACCGGCAGGCGAGAGGUCAGUUGCACUCGACCCGAAACAGACCAGACAGCGUGGAUGCUUUUGAACUGGAGUGCUGCGUGCUCAGGAUAAGCACUGAUAAAGCAGUGUAUAGACCGGUCAGACGGCACCAGAGGACACGGAUUCACCACGCACCUUAGAGAAGGGGAGAACGAAGGAAGAGGAAGAGAGAGAGGAAGCACGAGCACCUUCACGGCACGGACUGGCACAACCACCUACACUUCUAGAAGAUUAUUUGUUUUUUGUUAAUAAAACCACCCUCUGGGGUUUUUGAUUUGAGCCCUCCUUGCUGUGUGUUUCUUCACCCCGUCACACUGGUGGAGAAUGCGGGCAAAAGUGUGAAGAAACACCGGCAAGCGAUCUCGUCUCCCCCUUACUUUUUUUCUUCUUGUCUCCCCGUUUAGUUUGCCGUGUGGCGUAGCGCUCCUUCCCCCCCCGUCAUGGAA